GACGCUGUGCGCACACUUCUCGCUGCCGAAAGCCGUCUCGUCCAGGAUGCAUUGAAGCGGACACGCACAGCCUGCAGCGAAGAACAACGCGACGGACAUUGCUCUACUCCACUUGGCAUCCUCUUAGACCCCCUCGUGAGCCUUGGCCGACGCCUGGCAAUGCUGGUUGGCUGCACUCGUAUCUGACGAGCCCGGCGACGUCUUGCUGCAGCGGUAGCCUUGAGUGCCAGCAUCAGCGCAGUUCCAUCCGUGCUGUUUUGCACACGAGCCAGCUCCUCUCCAAGGCCCUUCAGGAUCUCGAGGCUGACCACCAAAACAGUGUGAAUCUGGGUCCUUAAGGAGCUUGAACACCAUCAGGUGCCAAUGCUCUGCUCAUUGUGGACAAGUACUGCGACGAGGACAGCACCUGCCUUCGUGCAAUAUUUCUGGAUGCUUCUUCAUUGUGACUAAUGUGAAACUAUUGUGCAAUUUAACCUUUGUUUACUUCACUAAAAUAAUAAAUGAACCCAACAAUUACAAGAGCAAGCUUGGAAGUGUUGAGACUUCAUAUUACUUUGACUAAAAAAUAAUAAAAAUAUAAUUUUUUAAUGCA